GGAAGUAAGAUCCCUGAAAGAUGAUCAGGUUGAUAGGUCUGAGGUGGAAGCGUGGUGACACGUGGAGCUGACAGAUACUAAUAGAUCGAGGACUUAACCUA
rnacentral:rRNA from 1 species